rnacentral:rRNA from 1 species
UUGACUGACUGAGUGCCAGCAGCCGCGGGUGGGGCAGAUGAUUGGGGUGAAGUCGUAACAAGGUAACCUCAGUCAGUCAAGUCGUAACAAGGUAACCUCAGUCAGUCAAGUCGUAUACAAGGUAACCUCAGUCAGUCAGAGUCGUAACAAGGUAACCUCAGUCAGUCAAGUCGUAACAAGGUAACCUCAGUCAGUCAAUCCCGCGAGCCGA